AACGAACGCUGGCGGCAUGCCUAACACAUGCAAGUCGAACGAAGAGCCUUACUUCGGUUUGGUUCUUAGUGGCGCACGGGUGCGUAACGCGUGGGAAUCUGCCCCUUGGUUCGGAAUAACACAGAGAAAUUUGUGCUAAUACCGGAUGAUGACUUCGGUCCAAAGAUUUAUCGCCGAGGGAUGAGCCCGCGUAGGAUUAGCUAGUUGGUGGGGUAAAGGCCUACCAAGGCGACGAUCCUUAGCUGGUCUGAGAGGAUGAUCAGCCACACUGGGACUGAGACACGGCCCAGACUCCUACGGGAGGCAGCAGUGGGGAAUAUUGGACAAUGGGGGAAACCCUGAUCCAGCAAUGCCGCGUGAGUGAUGAAGGCCUUAGGGUUGUAAAGCUCUUUUACCCGGGAUAAUAAUGACAGUACCGGGAGAAUAAGCUCCGGCUAACUCCGUGCCAGCCGCCGCGGUAAAAC
rnacentral:rRNA from 1 species